CGGGCCCGAGGGGAGCAGGCAGGGGCGGCGCCGAGCAGAGGAGGUGCGGAAGGGAAUCCGCGGCCCAGGCGUGCCCAGCCGCACCCCGUAUGGCCCGCCGAGGGAGAAACCCGGUGCUUCCCGCGGAGGCACAGGCCUGGCCGGAAGCGGGGAGGGGCGGUGGCGAGACGGGCCGCGGCCGCCGCCCGAGAAGGGGCUUCGCGCUGGGGCCCCUGGGAGCCGCGCCGCACUCACCGUGGAGGACGGUAGGGAGCAAAGGCGCUUCCGGGAAGCUCGGAGGGCGGCGACUGCGUCUUUCCCAGUCCCACUCCUGAGGCGGUGGUGGCGGCAGCUGCGGUGGCGGCGACCGUAGCUGCAGUGGCGGCGGCAGCAGCUACCCGGCUCCGGAAUCGGCGGCGGCGGCGGCGACGGCAGCGGUGGUGGCGGCAGCUGCACUUCCGCUCCGGCCACCACUUCCGCUCUAGCCCAGGUCCCGCCCCACCCUGAGACGGCUCCUGAUUGGAUUCCCAUGGAUUUAUCACUGUACCCUACCUCCCGAGGAAUAUGAUCUGGUGACAUCAUAAGAAUUUGGAAGAUGACAGAAACCAAGGCUGCUUCAGAGGAGGCUUCAGCCAAAGAACCAUUGCAGUUUUGCCCAUUGCCUUCCAUUCCAAAGGUGGAAUCCAAAACAGGCUCUAAGCCUCCCAUGACAUGGUGCUGUGGAUUUUGCUCUGUGU